rnacentral:rRNA from 1 species
GUGUCAGCAGCCGCGGUAAUACAGAGGUCUCAAGCGUUGUUCGGAUUCAUUGGGCGUAAAGGGUGCGUAGGCGGCGCGGUAAGUCGGGUGUGAAAUCUCGGGGCUUAACUCCGAAACUGCAUUCGAUACUGCCGUGCUUGAGGACUGGAGAGGAGACUGGAAUUUACGGUGUAGCGGUGAAAUGCGUAGAUAUCGUAAGGAAGACCAGUGGCGAAGGCGGGUCUCUGGACAGUUCCUGACGCUGAGGCACGAAGGUCAGGGGAGCAAACGGGAUUAGAUACCCCGGUAGUCCUGACAGUAAACGGUGCACGUUUGGUGUGGGAGGAUUCGACCCCUUCUGCGCCGGAGCUAACGCGUUAAACGUGCCGCCUGGGGAGUACGGUCGCAAGAUUAAA